rnacentral:rRNA from 1 species
AGUGAACGCUGGCGGUAGGCCUAACACAUGCAAGUCGAACGGCAGCACAGUAAGAGCUUGCUCUUACGGGUGGCGAGUGGCGGACGGGUGAGGAAUACAUCGGAAUCUACUUUUUCGUGGGGGAUAACGUAGGGAAACUUACGCUAAUACCGCAUACGACCUACGGGUGAAAGCAGGGGAUCUUCGGACCCUGCGCGAUUGAAUGAGCCGAUGUCGGAUUAGCUAGUUGGCGGGGUAAAGGCCCACCAAGGCGACGAUCCGUAGCUGGUCUGAGAGGAUGAUCAGCCACACUGGAACUGAGACACGGUCCAGACUCCUACGGGAGGCAGCAGUGGGGAAUAUUGGACAAUGGGCGCAAGCCUGAUCCAGCCAUACCGCGUGGGUGAAGAAGGCCUUCGGGUUGUAAAGCCCUUUUGUUGGGAAAGGAAAGCAGCAGGUUAAUACCCCGCUGUUCUGACGGUACCCAAAGAAUAAGCACCGGCUAACUUCGUG